ACGGGUGAGUAACGCGUGAGUAACCUGCCUUUCAGAGGGGGAUAACGUUCUGAAAAGAACGCUAAUACCGCAUAACAUCAAUUUAUCGCAUGAUAGGUUGAUCAAAGGAGCAAUCCGCUGGAAGAUGGACUCGCGUCCGAUUAGCCAGUUGGCGGGGUAACGGCCUACCAAAGCGACGAUCAGUAGCCGACCUGAGAGGGUGACCGGCCACAUUGGGACUGAGACACGGCCCAAACUCCUACGGGAGGCAGCAUG
rnacentral:rRNA from 1 species